rnacentral:rRNA from 1 species
CAUAUUACCCUGAAUGUCCCCAAUCUUGUCUGAUCUCGGAAGGUAAACAUGGUUGGGCCUAGUUGGUACUAGGCUGAGAGAACAAAUAGGUC